rnacentral:tRNA from 1 species
GGCCCAGUAGUUUAGCAAACUCAUGUUCGGAUCGGAGAGGCCGGGUGCAGGGUUCCAACCUCGCUACCUGGAACACCCUCGAAAGUCCACCGAGUUGCAGGUUCAAGUCCUGCCUGGGCCA